GGCCACGUGGCGAAGAGGCCUAACGCGGCGGUCUGCAAAACCGCUAUUCGCCGGUUCGACUCCGGCCGUGGCCU
rnacentral:tRNA from 1 species